UGAACGCUGGCGGCGUGCCUAAUACAUGCACGUCGAGCGAACGGACGAGAAGCUUGCUUCUCUGCUGUUAGCGGCGGACGGGUGAGUAACACGUGGAUAACCUACCUAUAAGACUGGGAUAACUUCGGGAAACCGGAGCUAAUACCGGAUAAUAUUUUGAACCGCAUGGUUCAAAAGUGAAAGACGGUCUUGCUGUCACUUAUAGAUGGAUCCGCGCUGCAUUAGCUAGUUGGUAAGGUAACGGCUUACCAAGGCAACGAUGCAUAGCCGACCUGAGAGGGUGAUCGGCCACACUGGAACUGAGACACGGUCCAGACUCCUACGGGAGGCAGCAGUAGGGAAUCUUCCGCAAUGGGCGAAAGCCUGACGGAGCAACGCCGCGUGAGUGAUGAAGGUCUUCGGAUCGUAAAACUCUGUUAUUAGGGAAGAACAUAUGUGUAAGUAACUGUGCACAUCUUGACGGUACCUAAUCAGAAAGCCACGGCUAACUACGUG
rnacentral:rRNA from 1 species